UUAAGGUAUUCCUGUAUGCUAUGGCAUCAUGCUGUCCAGAUUUCUCCACUUCUAGCAGUCAACAAACUGGGAUUGGGAUGGGAAAGGAGAAAGACCUCACCAAUUCCUUUUAUUGUUGAAUAAAGGAGGCAGAGCCCAGGGCGGGAGUAUGCCCUGAGAGAGCUCCAGGGUAUGAUGCUGAGAGGAUCAGUCAGGUGUGGGUCUUUGACCCUCUGGCUUCCAAAGCUCCUUUUCUUGUAGGGUUGCCACCCUUUUUCCUGGUCCUGCUGCUCUGCCUUUUAUUAGGAGAUUCCACUAAGGAGCUAAGCAGGGAAUGCGUUCUCUAUUUCUGCCCCCCCUUCCUUUCUCUGCCAGGAAAAGCUUCACCUGCUUCAUUUCUUUGUGCUGAGUUCCCUUUAAAGGGGCUUCUCGAAGCAAGGGGUGAAGGAAUCCUACAAUGUGGAUGAGCACAAGCAAAGGGAACAGCCAGGGCUGUGCUCCUCUCCACUAGUUCAGCUCUUGGAUUGGGUUUGCAGAGUAAAGCUCCUGAAUGGAAGACAUCAAACUGGCCCCUUGCAGAGCACACGGCAUUAAAGGCCCCUCCUCCGCUCUGUCUCUGGGAUCGCUGAAUGACCUGUUGAGGCUCUUUCUCUUCAAACGUCUGCUUUGUGCAGACCUCCCAGUUUUAACAUCUACUUCAUAUUCUUGGUAAACUACGUAGAGGUUUUCAUACAGUGAAUGAUAUACAAAUUUUGUUAAAUAAGUAAAAACAAACAAACCAGAGGUGAUGGCCUGCAGUUCUUCACUGAAGUCAUGCCAUCUGUUCUGAAUCUAACUCCACCACCACCACCACCACCACUAUGUGGUACAGUUCAGAUGAUGUGCCAUGCUUGUGUGUGUUUUUGUGGAAAAGCUAUAGGAUAACCCCUUCUUUGGGAAAACACGUUACAUUUUCACUUUUACCAUUUGGUCCCACCGGACAAGUGAAACAACAAAGCUGGACCCAACAUUGUGCUGGAUGUGAACUUUCAAGUUGUUUCAUUGGCCUCAAAUUCAGUCUCCAUCUCAACAAUGAAUAAAACGCUUGUGAGGAGCAGACUAAAAUUCAGGAACACGUUUUCAGGAUGGAUGCCUAUGAGCAUAUACUACACAGACUACAAUGUUACUGAAGUAGAAUCAAGAAUUUGGAAUCCCAAGCAGAUUCCAUAUUAUGUUUCUGGAAGCUCAUCAGAAUCUUGAGACAUCUUUUUUGUGACUAGGGUGCUUGCAAAUGAGUAUUUAUUGUGGGAUUGGUACUCCUUGUCCAUUGAACUGUCCCAAUGCUUUUCAUCAAGAAGCAUGAAGCACUCGAAACACAUGGGGAAUUCCAUCUAUUGUGCAGUUGCCCUUUUGUUCCAGGGGAAAAAUAAUUUCCAUCAUUAGAGAAGGCAAGGAAAUGUCAGGAGGGGGCCGAAUCUCUUUAUUCUCAUUGCCCUUGUCUGUGGAGCUAUGUUUUGCAUUGUCUUCGUCUUGUAAGUUUCAGUGGGAAGAAAGUAAAAGUAAUCACUACCCUCAGCUGCCUCCAUCUAGUGGCUGAAUUAAAACAUAUGGGUGGUAUUUAAUGCUAGUCAUAGUCAGAGUAGGCCCCAUUGAAAUUAAUAGACACGACCAACUUAGCAUCAUAAUUUCAAUGAUCUACCCUGGGUAGGACAUAGUUGAAUACUACCCUGUGUGUUGACUGCAUAAUCCAUUGAUUUUCCAUCUUUGUGAAUGAAGGUGUGAUUUAAUUCCAAGGAACGUGCAUUGCAAAAUAUCUGAUGUUCUCAUGCUGCCAUCUAGUGCCCAUAGUCUACUAUUGUAAAGCAUGAGUACCAAAUAUACUCUCCAAAUAAGAAUACGAGCAGAACAGACUAGAUGCCUGGAGCUGUUUUUGUCAGUAAAUUCCAACAUAUAGGUGUUGGAAUAAAUAAAAGAACCCGGCACAAUAUCUGGCUACAAAUCCUGUAUUUUGUGAGUUUUUUUAUAGGCUGCUUUGAAUUUAUUUUAUA